UACGGAAGGCAGCAGUGGGGAAUAUUGCACAAUGGGCGCAAGCCUGAUGCAGCCAUGCCGCGUGUAUGAAGAAGGCCUUCGGGUUGUAAAGUACUUUCAGUCGUGAGGAAGGUGUUAAGGUUAAUAACCUUAGCAAUUGACGUUAGCGACAGAAGAAGCACCGGCUAACUCCGUGCCAGCAGCCGCGGUAAUACGGAGGGUGCGAGCGUUAAUCGGAAUUACUGGGCGUAAAGGGCACGCAGGCGGUUAAUUAAGUUGGAUGUGAAAUCCCCGGGCUUAACCUGGGAAUGGCAUUCAAGACUGGUUAGCUAGAGUCUUGUAGAGGGGGUAGAAAUUCCAUGUGUAGCGGUGAAAUGCGUAGAGAUGUGGAGGAAUACCGGUGGCGAAAGGCGGCCCCUGGGACAAAGACUGACGCUCAUGUGCGAAAGCGUGGGGAGCAAAACAGGGAUUAGAUACC
rnacentral:rRNA from 1 species